GCACGCUCCUUUUCCUUCUUGGAUAAUAAUCAUUGUCCUUCGGACUGUUCCAUUUCGAAUUCCUGCAAUUAUACGCUGGAUUGGAUUGGACUUCACUACUGUCGCCAUUUUCUACGUAACUCCCGGCAGCGUGAUUAUUUAAAAUUAUCCAAUGGAAAAAACGAUUACCAACGUUCCUGGAGACAAGAUUGUACUAUACUUUCUAAUUAUAGCAAGACUGCAAAAGGAAUAAGAGAUAUACAUAAAUGGAAACCACUGGAAUUUUCUUUUUGAUUAUAUGGGAUUUAUAAAUUUAUGAAUAAAACUGAAGAAAUACGUUGUUACUACUAACGCGGAUUUUUAUCCGAUUAUCUGGAAUAUCUGGAAGCACAGAAAUACACAGAAAUCGCGUAAUAUGUACAAAUAUAUCGUGUGCUUGAUGCAAGAAGUGGCAAUGUCGUAUUUUUGCAAAAUUAAGUUAAGCCCGGUAUUGAGUUUGCAAGCGAUUGUAUAUUUUAUACAAAAAACGGCAGUUUCAAAUUCUAUCUAGGAAUCACUAUAAUGGCAUUUAUUGAAAAUUUUUUAUAAAAUCAGCUAUCUGCCAAAAAUACCAAAGUCAACAUAAAAAGCACGAAUAGCAUAAGCUUUAAAAUUGUUUCUUUUUGUAUUAGAAAAGAAAUUUGAAACAGCAGAAACUUUUCUGUCGGAUAUUAUUUGAACAUGAAUUUUUUAACGUAUGUUUAAGUGUUAAUAUCUCAAGUUCAUAAAUACUGACGUUGGUACUUCUUGCAACAAGCCACAGAUAUAGAAUAUCCAUAGUACUCAUUAUGAUAUUUAAUAAGUAAUGGAAAUCUCUGUUUAGGUUCCAUUUUUUUCAUUUGUCACCACGAAAAUUUGCAUAAAUAUCCGCCAGCCUAACGAUCAUCGUAAUCGAGUCUCAUUAGAAUACUACUAAAAUUUCAAAAUGUUUCAUACUUUGUAUGAACCAGCAUAUUAAUUCAUACAGUUGGGAACAAAGCUAAGUUUUCUAAUUUUCUAUUUUUAUUCUCCAACUAUGAACUAUAUUAUCCAAAAUAUGUAUUUGUAUCGUUGUUGGAAAUAUGAAACGUAUCAGGAGCCGACAGAAAGUUUGUAAAAUGGAAUGCGAGAAAUAGAAUGAUGCAAGGUCGAGCUAUCGUCUUACCAAAACACGUUAUCGGUGACGCCCCCCAUUCGAGUCUGGACUCUCGGGAGGAACAUCUCAGCAUGCACACCCCUUCAAUUUCCAGAUAAAUUCCGAUAAUGAUUGCGUUCUUCGCUACAUUUAACG